AAAAAAGUUGUUACAGGUAUAUAAGGUUGAAGGAUUGUCAGAAUUGGUGAACUGAUUCUAAUUUAUAAGCCAUUAGAUGACUACCUGGGUAAGCCAAGUCUGUUCUUAGCUUCUCACCCUGUAGAAAGCAGUUUAACUACAGAGCUUUAAGAUUCCCACUACACUUACCUUUUCACGUCCAUUGUAGGUGGUUCUAACAGAAAUGGGCUUUUCAUUAUUUAAGCAGCUUAGUGACUCACACUUUCCUCUUAGAAUGUGAGUUGUGGCUAGCGUAAUGUCCUAGUCUAAAUACCUAACACUUAGACCACAUUGUUUACCAAGAGAACAAGGAAUAUUAACUGAUUGACUUUUCUUUGUGCUUUAGGUUUCAUAUUUUGAAAUAUAUUUGGAUAAGAUAAGGGACCUGUUAGAUGUUUCAAAGACUAACCUUUCAGUCCAUGAAGACAAAAACCGUGUUCCCUAUGUAAAGGGGUGCACAGAGCGUUUUGUGUGUAGUCCAGAUGAAGUUAUGGAUACCAUAGAUGAAGGGAAAUCCAACAGACACGUAGCAGUUACAAAUAUGAAUGAACAUAGCUCUAGGAGUCACAGUAUAUUUCUUAUCAAUGUAAAGCAAGAGAAUACACAGACAGAACAGAAACUCAGUGGGAAGCUUUAUCUGGUUGAUUUAGCUGGAAGUGAAAAGGUUAGUAAAACUGGAGCUGAGGGUGCCGUGCUGGAUGAAGCUAAGAACAUCAACAAGUCACUUUCUGCACUUGGAAAUGUCAUUUCUGCUUUGGCAGAAGGCAGUACCUAUGUUC
rnacentral:lncRNA from 1 species